GUCGUAACAAGGUUUCCGUAGGUGAACCUGCGGAAGGAUCAUUACCACACCGAUCCAAGAUCUUUUUCACUGUGAACCGUGGUCCCAUGGAAGCUGAUGGGGUGCGAGUUGGACUGCAUCCAAAGUGGUCCAUCUAGCAGUCCAUCGGUGGGACUGCACAUGAAAGUGCUGUGUAGCCACAGCGCGACCCGUCACUUUACGACGUUAACCGGUCUUGACCAAACAAACUGAACCAUAAAGGGCCAGUUGCAACCUUGCCUUGUCGGCUUGGGGGCACAGGUUCUCGAAACAAAAAUACCUUACAACUUUCAGCGAUGGAUGUCUAGGUUCCCA
rnacentral:misc_RNA from 1 species